AUUGAACGCUGGCGGCAGGCCUAACACAUGCAAGUCGAACGAGUGGCGGACGGGUGAGUAAUGUCUGGGAAACUGCCUGAUGGAGGGGGAUAACUACUGGAAACGGUAGCUAAUACCGCAUACCAUCAGAUGUGCCCAGAUGGGAUUAGCUUGUUGGUGGGGUAACGGCUCACCAAGGCGACGAUCCCUAGCUGGUCUGAGAGGAUGACCAGCCACACUUGAACUGUGACACGGUCCAGGCUCCUACGGGAGUCAGCAGUGGGGAAGAUUGCACUAUGGGCGCAAGCCUGAUGCAUCCAUGCCGCGUGUAUGAGGAAGGCCUUCGGGUUGUAAAGUACUUUCAGCGGGGAGGCGUUACCCGCAUAAGAAGCACCGGCUAACUCCGUGCCAGCAGCCGCGGUAAUAC
rnacentral:rRNA from 1 species